UGAGUUUUGACACACUAUAUAUAUAACAUCUAUUAUUCACUCCUGGCAGCACCGACACUUCAUCCGCCCUCUAUUAUAAAACACUGCGUCUCAUUUUUAGGCAUUAAAUUAGCAUUGUUUGGGAUAUAUUGUUGGGCUUCUUGAUUUAAUCGAUCUUUUGAGCCAGAACGUGAUUAACCCUUAUCUUCUUCUUCACACCGGAAUUUAGGGUAUACGUCUCUUCAAUCUCUGACAUCGACGCUAUUCACAUAUAUACGCAGACAACAACAAUGGAGUUUGAAGUGAUUGGGAUCUAAAAUGGACGGGCAUGAUCUCUAUGUCGCCUUUCAGUGGUGUCUUUUUGUCUUCCAUGUAAUCAAGCCAAACGUUCCCAAUUUCAGAUUCAUCUCAUUUAUUGCUUUAUUAACUCCUUCGAUCCACAACAACACGAUCUGCCAUUAUGCAUUAUGUCUUCUCUAAGGCGGUGAAUAGUUGUAUACACCUAUAAAAAUGUUAGCCUUCUUCACUUUAUCAUCAUUCUCUCAAACCCUAAAACAACAAAGCAAACUUAUUUCUUCAAAUGGCUAGCUCCUCUAAUCCGACGUCAUGUUCUUCCACUGUCGAGGUUAAGCUUCCGUGUUUAGUUUUAACCGGAAGUUCACCGUAUGUAAAGGUGUCGCCUUCUUCGUUAAGGUGCUUACUUAUUCCUCCUAGGGAUCCCAUUCUCAGUCACCACCACGCCGUUGCUCAUGAAGGAUUUGGAUUCCCUUGCUUGAUUCUUUCAGAUCUUAUGUCGUUUCCUGCGAGAUUCAGACAAGAUGCUUACGACAAGGUAAAGUCUUUGGUCCUUUUGGUAGUAAUUGUUUUCUUAUUGUGAAGGAUUUGGAUUGAAGAUGUAUUUUUUAAAUGAUUGGCAAUGUGAUUGGUAUUUGACGUAUGAGUUUUGCUGCAAGGACGCUGAUGAUGAUGGCAAAACUGUUAUUGUUGCAGUCGUUGAUAGUGAUUAUUUAAGGAGGAGCUUCGCUGAUGUUCUUAAAUUUUUACCAAUAACUGAUUCUGUGACAAAGCUAACCGCAAGGUGUGAGGUUUGUGGACAGAAAGUUUUUUUCACUGUGAGGAAGACUUGUGACACCAGAACUGAGCUGAUCGGUGGGGCUGAUGUCUAUAUCCUCGUUUUUCUUAAGCAUUAUAUCAAUAAUCAAAUUGUCAUCAAAGCUUCAAAGUAAGUUUUGGAUUUUCACAAGGCAAGAGCUGGACACCUGUGUGGAGACAGUUGCUGCUAUGAUCUAACCAUGACUUGCUGUGAAACGCACUAAACAUAUACUAUAGUGAGAUUUUGUUCUUUGAAGGUGCCAUGUUUGUUUGCUGCUAAGUUUUGAAUCUUAUGUUAUUUUGUUCAAUCAUUUAUGCAAUUUAAUUGAUUUGCAAAUCUAAUAUAUAUAUAAUAUAUAUUAACAAGUCUAAGUAAAGUUUACUGAUUUUCAAAAUCGAAUAUAUAUAUUAUAAUAAUAUUUACAAAUUCUUAAGUUUUUUCUUUGGGAUUUUGUAUUUAUAUUUUUAAUUAAAAAAACCAGUCUCUUUUAAAAUAAAAUCCAUAAACAAUCCCAUAAGAUGUAUGAAUUAUAAAUCAUAAAAAUAAUAACAAAUGAUUUAACAAAGAUUUUUAAAUCACAGAACCAAUAAUAUUUGAUGUACCAUAACGAUCAAGUAGACAAAAAUUAGGCAAUUUUUGAUAAAAUUUAACAAAACGAUGAAAGAGUACAUUCACAAAUUAACUUAUAAUUAAAACAGUGAUUUUCAGAAAUCUAAAAAUUUUAUUAGGAAAAUGAAUCAAUAACAUUCGUUUUGAAAAUCAAAAUCCUUUAUUCAGAUAAUAUAGUUAACUUGAUUUUCAAAUAUAAUGAAUAAAAAAAAAUCAAGCAACACAUGAAUAUUAAUUUUCUUAUUUGUGUGAAAUAUAUUAAUAAAAUAUCUAAUAUUACAUUAAUAAUACUAUAAUUAAUUAUACAUUUUACCUCAAAUAAAAUUUCAACAAUAAUCUAUCGUAAAAUUUAGUAAAUUUAUAAUCAAAACAAUGACUUUUAAGAAAUUAAUAUUUAAAAUUUAUAUUAUGAAAAUUAACCAGUAACAUUUUUUUCAACUAAUCAGUAACAUUCAUUUCAAAAACUAUAAUCAUUUAUAUUAAAACAAGGUUUACUUGAUUUUCAAAUAUCUUUAUAAAUAAACAAAGUUAUAGCAAACAUGUAUAUUUUUAUUAUCUUGGUCACAUAUAUUAAUUAAAUAUAUAAUAUUACAUAAAUAAUUUUAUAAUUAAUUAUACAUUUUAACUCAAGCAAUAUUUCAACAAUAAUCUACUGGGAAAACUAAAUUUAGUAAAAACAUAAGAUAAUCUACUAAAGUAUAUAAAAUUUAACAAAAAAUAUGUGUAUUUACUUACAAGUUUGUUUCUUUUCUACUAACAAAAAUGAAAAAAAAAAUCUCAUGGUUUUUUUAAUGGUCAUCCAACUCUAGAAAAUCACAAUAAAUGAUGUAAUGCCACAUUCAGCUCUUAAUAUAUAAUUAAAACAUAGAUUACUUAACAAAAGAAAAUCAUCUUAAACCUUUUAACAAAAAAAACAAAUC